rnacentral:rRNA from 1 species
CCUACGGGAGGCAGCAGUGAGGAAUAUUGGUCAAUGGACGAGAGUCUGAACCAGCCAAGUAGCGUGAAGGAUGACUGCCCUAUGGGUUGUAAACUUCUUUUAUCUGGGAACAAAACAGGGUAUGCAUACCCUCUUGUAUGUACCAUAUGAAUAAGGAUCGGCUAACUCCGUGCCAGCAGCCGCGGUAAUACGGAGGAUCCGAGCGUUAUCCGGAUUUAUUGGGUUUAAAGGGAGCGUAGGUGGAUUGUUAAGUCAGGUGUGAAAGUUUGAGGCUCAACCGUAAAAUUGCAGUUGAAACUGGCAGGCUUGAGUGCAGUAGAGGUAGGCGGAAUUCGUGGUGUAGCGGUGAAAUGCAUAGAUAUCACGAAGAACUCCGAUUGCGAAGGCAGCUCACUGGACUGCAACUGACACUGAUGCUCGAAAGUGUGGGUAUCGAACAGGAUUAGAUACCCGAGUAGUC